AAUAAGAUCAUUUUUUAGUUCUUAGAUACCAUGUUUUGACUUUUAGUCUUAUUUGAAAUUUUUUUGCGGUUAAUAUUUUUGGUUUUACUAGAUGAUAAAAUAUGAAUAACAUUUUAUGCGUGACUAAUUUUUUUAAAAAAAUUUAACAAAUUUUUCAAAUAAGAUGAAUGGUCAAAGCAUUAGACACAGAAAUCGAAAAAUGACUUUAUU
rnacentral:pre_miRNA from 1 species